rnacentral:sRNA from 1 species
UUCGGGAGAACUUCUGCCGGAACCCCGACGGCUCAGAGGCGCCCUGGUGCUUCACACUGCGGCCCGGCAUGCGCGUGGCCUUUUGCUACCAGAUCCGGCGUUGUACAGACGACGUGCGGCCCCAGGACUGCUACCACGGCGCAGGGGAGCAGUACCGCGGCACGGUCAGCAAGACCCGCAAGGGUGUCCAGUGCCAGCGCUGGUCCGCUGAGACGCCGCACAAGCCGCAGUGAGUCCCUGGUGCUCCCGGCCCCGCCAGGGCCCUAACCCUGGGGCGGCAUGCUUUGGUGUCUGGGACCAGAGCCUGGAAAUGGUUGAGACUACCCUGCCACGAUUUUGCUCCCGCUUCCGCCUAGGUUCACGUUUACCUCCGAACCGCAUGCACAACUGGAGGAGAACUUCUGCC